rnacentral:piRNA from 1 species
UAUGCACAUGCGCUAUACAUACCCUUAAAA